AACGCGAAGAACCUUACCCAGGCUUGACAUGCAGUAGACAGCUCCAGAAAUGGAGUCUUCCUUCGGGACUGCUGCACAGGUGCUGCAUGGCUGUCGUCAGCUCGUGCCGUGAGGUGUUGGGUUAAGUCCCGCAACGAGCGCAACCCUUAUCGUUAUUUGCCAACAUUUUAGGUGGGAACUCUAACGAGACUGCCUGGGUUAACCAGGAGGAAGGUGAGGAUGACGUCAAGUCCGCAUGGCCCUUAUGUCUGGGGCUACACACGUGCUACAAUGGCCGGUACAAAAGGCAGCGAAACCGUGAGGUGAAGCAAAUCCCCAAAACCGGCCCCAGUUCAGAUUGUAGUCUGCAACUCGACUACAUGAAGAUGGAAUUGCUAGUAAUGGCGAGUCAGCUACAUCGCCGUGAAUACGUUCCCGGGCCUUGUACACACCGGAGUA
rnacentral:rRNA from 1 species